rnacentral:rRNA from 1 species
GAUGAACGCUGGCGGCGUGCCUAAUACAUGCAAGUCGAGCGAACAGACGAGGAGCUUGCUGCUCUGACGUUAGCGGCGGACGGGUGAGUAACACGUGGAUAACCUACCUAUAAGACUGGGAUAACUUCGGGAAACCGGAGCUAAUACCGGAUAAUAUAUUAAACCGCAUGGUUCAAUAGUGAACGACGGUUUUGCUGUCACUUAUAGAUGGAUCCGCGCCGCCUUAGCUAGUUGGUAAGGUAACGGCUUACCAAGGCGACGAUGCGUAGCCGACCUGAGAGGGUGAUCGGCCGCACUGGAACUGAGACACGCUGCAGGCUCCGACGGGAGGCACCAGUAGGGAAUCUUCCGCAAGGGGCGAAAGCGUGACGUAGCAAAGCCGCGUGAGUGAUGAAGGGCUUCGGAUCGUAAAACUCUGUUAUUAUCGAAUAACAAACUUCUAAUGAACUAUGCACGUCUUGACGGUACCUAGUCAGAAAGCCCCGGCUAACUACGUG